AAUUAAAAGCAUUUUUUUAAAAGAAAAAUGAAAAGCAUCUUACGUAAGAAAUGAAGGUGAAAUUUUAGUAGUCUAUAUAUGAAAAAUGUGAAGGUGGGAGGUCAAUGGAGAUAGUGGGGGUGUGCUAGCAGACAUUUCUAACAUCAUAUUCUUCUCAUCUUUCUUUCACAGAUUCCUCCAAUCUUAAACGUCCAUGAAUCCACUCUUUUUAGGUUCUUUUUCCGUCAACUACAGCAGCUGCAACUUGCAAGGGCAGUGUCAGCUUCGAUAGUACUCAUAAAAUUAAUCUUAUUUUAGCAGUAAGUUCUGGGGUCAAACCAUAAUAUACCCACAUGUUUGGUGAUUGUCUUCCUGCUUGAAUUUUUUUUUUUUUUUGGAAUUUUAGGACUUUCUUUCAUAUAAAGACUAGAUUUCCUGUCAGGUUGUUUUGCAUGGGGGUGAGGUUAAGCUUGUUUUUAUUGAUUUGAUGUGUGAAUUUGGAAUCUUUGUUUUCUGGAAACUGGUUGGUAUUUAAGAGAGGGGAAAUAAACUCUGUUUUGAAGUAGAAACUGAGAAUCUUUGAGGAAUUUUGUUUGCUUCUUUCUCCUUGUGGUUAUUGAGAAAAAUUUUCUUAUCUUCUUUAGUCUGGGUCUUCUGUUUUGCCAUUCUCAAUUGCUGGAUAAGAUAGCAUCUUUUCUUUCUCUUUUUCUUUUUCCCUUUUCCUUUGCUUUCCCUUACUAUCUAAAGCUCCUUAAAAUUCAUCUGUCCUGUAGUCAAUUUGGAGCUUACUGGGUUUUUUUUCUUCUUAUCCCCAAGCCUCUUCAUUUUCUGGUGAUGUUUCAAUAGAUUUGACAGUGGGUCUAUCGGUUUUGGAUGUUAUGUUGCUGGAUAGCUUCUAUGAUGUCCAUGAACUGUUUGAUCAAUUGUCAAUUUAAGUGCACCGAGGCUAGUCUCCUUGGUGAUAGCGGUACCAAGAUGUGGUUCAAAUGCUGGGAUAUAAUCUCAACUUAUAGUUUCAAGAUCCACCAUCACUACUACCAGUUUAUUGGUUCCAAGAGAGUUAGCAAAACUUGGUGGAGAAAGCUCUUGCUUUCAUGGGUCAUUGGUUGGACUGUAGUCUCUAUUUGGAUCUUCUGUUAUAUGAGUUCUCAAGCUACCGAAAAGAGGAGGGAGACGCUCGCUAGCAUGUGCGACGAGAGAGCUCGGAUGUUGCAAGAUCAGUUUAAUGUAAGCAUGAACCAUAUCCAGGCUAUGUCAAUUUUGAUCUCAACUUUCCACCAUGGCAAAAACCCUUCUGCUAUUGAUCAAAUGACUUUUGCAAGGUACACGGAGCGAACUGCUUUUGAAAGGCCCCUCACAAGUGGUGUGGCAUAUGCUGUAAGGGUGCUCCACUCUGAAAGGGAACAAUUUGAAAAGCAUCAAGGAUGGACUAUUAAGAGGAUGGAUACACUCGAAAAAAAUCCUGUUCAUAAAGAUGACUAUAAUCCUGACCUCUUUGAACCAUCGCCGAUUCAGGAAGAAUACGCACCUGUUAUCUUUGCACAGGAUAUCAUAUCACAUGUGAUUUCUAUUGAUCUGCUGUCGGGAAAGGAAGAUCGCGAGAAUGUAUUGCGUGCAAGAAAAUCAGGAAAGGGGGUGCUGACAGCUCCUUUUCCAUUACUCAAAACAAAUCGUCUUGGAGUUAUUUUGACAUUUGCUGUCUACAAGAGGGAUCUUCCCUCGAAUGCAACUCCUAAUGAGAGGAUUCAAGCAACUAAUGGAUAUCUUGGUGGAGUGUUUGAUGUCGAGUCACUUGUGGAGAAGUUGCUACAUCAGCUUGCAAGCAAACAAACAAUACUUGUCAAUGUGUUGGACACAACUAAUCGAUCUUACCCUAUUAGUAUGUAUGGCUCAAACGCAUCAGAUGAUGGGUUGGAGCUUGUCAGCCAUCUUAAUUUUGGAGAUCCUUUCAGAAAGCACGAGAUGCGCUGCAGGUUUAAACAAAAGCCACCGUGGCCGUGGCUAGCAAUAACCACUUCAAUUGGCAUCCUUGUGAUUGCAUUACUUGUUGGGCAUAUAUUUCAUGCAGCUGUUAAUCGAAUUGCGAAGGUAGAAGAUGAUUGCCACAAGAUGAUGGAGCUCAAAAAACAGGCUGAGGCAGCUGAUGUGGCCAAAUCUCAGUUCCUUGCUACUGUUUCACAUGAGAUUAGAACCCCAAUGAACGGUGUGCUGGGAAUGUUGCAUAUGCUUAUGGACACGGAUUUAGAUGUUACACAACUUGAUUAUGUCCGAACUGCCCAAGCUAGUGGAAAGGCUCUGGUUGCGCUUAUAAAUGAGGUUUUGGAUCAGGCUAAGAUCGAAUCUGGUAAGCUAGAGCUCGAGGAAGUGCAGUUUGAUCUACGAGCAGUCUUGGACGAUGUCUUAUCACUCUUUUCAGGGAAGGCUCAAGACAAAGGAGUAGAGUUGGCAGUUUUCAUUUCAGAUCAAGUGCCUGAGACGCUAAUUGGCGAUCCCGGGAGAUUCAGACAAAUCAUCACCAAUCUCAUGGGAAACUCAAUUAAGUUCACAGAGAAAGGGCACAUCCAUGUUACGGUUCAUCUUGUGGAGGAGGUGAUUGAUUCAAUAGAAGUUGAGACUGAAUCUUCAUCAAACAAUACCUUGAGUGGUUUUCCAGUUGCGGAUAGACUCCAGAGCUGGAAAGGAUUUAGAACUUUCAGUCAAGAAGGAUCCAUUCAUCCUUUCUCUGACAGCAUUAAUAUUAUUGUAUCAGUUGAAGAUACAGGAGAAGGAAUCCCUAUAGAAGCACAAUCUCGUGUUUUCACACCUUUUAUGCAAGUGGGCCCUUCUAUUUCCCGAACGCAUGGAGGCACGGGCAUCGGACUAAGCAUAAGCAAGUGUUUGGUUAAUCUAAUGAAGGGAGAAAUUGGUUUUGUUAGCAUUCCCAAGAUUGGUUCUACCUUUACAUUUACUGCUGGUUUCACCAGUGGCUCUUCUAGUUCGAAGGAGUACAAAAGCCAGCAAAUCAACAACCAGACUAACUCAGUUUCCUCAGAGUUCCGUGGGAAGAGAGCACUAGUUGUGGAUCCUAGAUCUGUCCGGGCCAAAGUGUCAAGAUAUCAUAUCCAGCGGUUGGGAAUUCAUGUUGAAGUAGUUUCCGAUUGGAAACAAGGUUUAUCUAGCAUAAGCCAAGGUGGUAGUGCUUUCAACAUGGUUCUCAUCGAACAGGAAGUUUGGGAUCAAGAUCUAAAUGGUUCAGCUCACUUCAUCGAUAACUUGGAGAAAAGAGCUAUUACUACUCCGAAGGUAUUCCUUUUGUCCAAUUCUAUCAGUUCUUCCCGAGCAAAUACUACUACGUCUGGUGUUUGUAACUUGACCGUCAUCCCGAAGCCCUUGAGGGCUAGCAUGUUAGCGGCAUCUCUACAACGAGCCAUGGGUGAUGGGAACAAAGGGAAUCCUCGUAAUGGGGAGUUACCUAGCCUAUCUCUUCAGAAUCUUCUUCCUGGGAGAAAAAUUCUAAUUGUAGAUGACAACAACGUGAACCUAAAAGUAGCUGCUGGUGCUUUGAAAAAAUAUGGAGCUGAUGUGGUUAGUGCUUCAAGAGGAAUGGAAGCUAUUGAACUGCUUACACCGCCUCACCGGUUUGAUGCCUGUUUCAUGGAUAUCCAAAUGCCUGAGAUGGAUGGGUUUGAAGCUACAAAGAGAAUUCGGGAUUCGGAACAAAAUAUCAAUGACCGUAUUCACUUUGGAGAAUUAUCAGUCGAAACUUAUAACAACAUUUCAAACUGGCAUGUACCAAUUUUGGCUAUGACGGCAGAUGUUAUCCAGGCCACACAUGAGGAGUGCCUACGGCGUGGAAUGGAUGGAUAUGUAUCUAAACCAUUUGAAGCCGAGCAAUUAUACCGGGAAGUUUCACGAUUUUUCCAUUAGGCAUCAGAUCAGAAUCGGUUGGAAGGACUUCUGUGCAUGACUUGCUGAUGGCAUCAGUACAACCGCCCCUUCUAUGGCAUGCUUUGAGAUACCUUAAUAAGUCGCAAUUCUUCCCAAGAGAAAAAAACGUGUUUUUGUAGCAGGGUGUAUAUAAAAUCAUGCUUGGGUAUGGGAUUUUCUUGUAUUCUACAAAGCAGUUGACAAAGGUUGUAGAUCCUUUUUCAUUUUUGCCUGUAAAGUUGGUCACGAUCACAAGCCUUCCAGCAGGGUUGGUGAAUUCAGAUUUCUGUGCAGUAAAAAGAAAAACACUGAUUUUAACUUAGGGUAAAAACAAAGUUACCAUAUUGAAAUGAAUGGAAGAAAAUCAUAUUCCUUUGAGUGUAUCAGUAUCUCAGCAUCCCCGGGGGGGGGGAGGAUUGAGUCUUAUACAUUAAUUAAUGCUCCAAUAAAAUGAUUGGUCAGUACCUUAUUCAGAUUUAACAAAUUGUAUCAUGUUCAUCUAUGUUAUCUUAUCAUAAUUGGUGUUAAUGUAUAUUUGGAGCAAUGGUGUAUAUUUAUAUAGUGUUGGUCGCUGUUUCAUUUUGGUGUUGUAUUUGUAUGGUGCUAUUACGUUAUGUUUAAUGUGGUUGGGUCUAAUGUUAUUAAUUUUUCAAGUGUUAGUAUUGUCAUAUAUGUAGGCAUUAUCUUACGCAACAAUUUAUGAAGAAAAUGAAGUAAGAUUCUUUGAAAA